AUCGUAUUGAUAAUAAAGAUUUAUCGGUAUAAGAUGGGCAUGCGUAUCAUUAGCUAGUUGGUGUGGUAACGGCAUACCAAGGCAACGAUGAUUAGGGGUCCUGAGAGGGAGAUCCCCCACACUGGUACUGAGACACGGACCAGACUCCUACGGGAGGCAGCAGUGAGGAAUAUUGGUCAAUGGAGGCAACUCUGAACCAGCCAUGCCGCGUGCAGGAUGACGGUCCUAUGGAUUGUAAACUGCUUUUGUACAGGAAGAAACCUCCCUACGAGUAGGGACUUGACGGUACUGUAAGAAUAAGGAUCGGCUAACUCCGUGCCAGCAGCCGCGGUAAUACGGAGGAUCCGAGCGUUAUCCGGAAUUAUUGGGUUUAAAGGGUUCGUAGGCGGCUUUGUAAGUCAGUGGUGAAAUUUCCUAGCUUAACUAGGACACUGCCAUUGAUACUGCAGAGCUUGAAUAAUAUGGAAGUAACUAGAAUAUGUAGUGUAGCGGUGAAAUGC
rnacentral:rRNA from 1 species